rnacentral:rRNA from 1 species
AUUGAACGCUGGCGGCAGGCCUAACACAUGCAAGUCGAGCGGAUGAAGGGAGCUUGCUCCUGGAUUCAGCGGCGGACGGGUGAGUAAUGCCUAGGAAUCUGCCUGUUAGUGGGGGAUAACGUCCGGAAACGGGCGCUAAUACCGCAUACGUCCUGAGGGAGAAAUUGGGGGAUCUUCGGACCUCACGCUAUCAGAUGAGCCUAGGUCGGAUUAGCUAGUUGGUGGGGUAAAGGCCUACCAAGGCGACGAUCCGUAACUGGUCUGAGAGGAUGAUCAGUCACACUGGAACUGAGACACGGUCCAGACUCCUAAGGGAGGCAGCAGUGGGGAAUAUUGGACAAUGGGCGAAAGCCUGAUCCAGCCAUGCCGCGUGUGUGAAGAAGGUCUUCGGAUUGUAAAGCACUUUAAGUUGGGAGGAAGGGCAGUAAGUUAAUACCUUGCUGUUUUGACGUUACCAACAGAAUAAGCACCGGCUAACUUCGUG